UACGUAGGGUGCAAGCGUUAAUCGGAAUUACUGGGCGUAAAGCGUGCGCAGGCGGUUUCGUAAGUCUGUCGUGAAAUCCCCGGGCUUAACCUGGGAAUGGCGAUGGAGACUGCGAGGCUAGAGUUUGGCAGAGGGGGGUAGAAUUCCACGUGUAGCAGUGAAAUGCGUAGAGAUGUGGAGGAACACCGAUGGCGAAGGCAAUCCCCUGGGCCUGUACUGACGCUCAUGCACGAAAGCGUGGGAGCAAACAGG
rnacentral:rRNA from 1 species